UACGGAGGGUGCGAGCGUUGUCCGGAAUCAUUGGGCGUAAAGGGUGCGUAGGCGGUUGCAUGCGUCCGCGCUGAAAUCCCGAGGCUCAACCUCGGGGCGCGUGCGGAUACGAUGCGACUUGAGGCUCGGAGAGGGUGGGAGAACUCCUGGUGUAGUGGUGAAAUGCGUAGAGAUCAGGAAGAAUACCCGUGGCGCAAGCGCCCACCUGGCCGAGACCUGACGCUAAGGCACGAAAGCGUGGGGAGCGAACCGG
rnacentral:rRNA from 1 species